rnacentral:lncRNA from 1 species
GAACUUUUAAUUGUCUUUUGAUAUUCAUUUAAAGUGGAUAUUGGAUGUUGAACACCAGCUUUGUGUUAAACCCAUUGUUAACUGUGUCUGUAUUUUAGGGCAUGUUCUAUAACCCUGUGAUGUCCUUUAUAGGAGGGUUGAAAUAAUGGACUACUGAAGUACUUACUAGGGACUCUUCUAUGUUUGGUAAUAGGUAAAUAAAUAUGCAAAAUUAAAGGGUGAGACUAUGUAAUGCCUAGUCCCAGAAGCCUUUCAGAGUAAUGUUAUUUGGUAUCAUUCUAAUACAUUUUAUUCUUCAGCCAUUUUUUUUGAUCCAGAUUU